UGGGGAAUAUUGCACAAUGGAGGGAACUCUGAUGCAGCGACGCCGCGUGAGUGAUUAAGGAAUUCGUUUCGUAAAACUCUGUUCUAUGGGAAGAAAAGGACUGUACCAUAGGAGAAAGCUCCGGCUAAAUACGUGCCAGCAGCCGCGGUAAUACGUAUGGAGCGAGCGUUGUCCGGAAUUAUUGGGCGUAAAGGGUGCGCAGGCGGCUUUACAAGUUGGAUGUGAAAUAUUGUGGCUCAACCACAAACGUGCAUCCAAAACUGCAAAGCUUGAGUUAAGGAGAGGUAAGUGGAAUUCCUGGUGUAGCGGUGGAAUGCGUAGAUAUCAGGAGGAAUACCGGUGGCGAAGGCGACUUACUGGACUUAAACUGACGCUCAGGCACGAAAGCGUGGGGAGCAAACAGG
rnacentral:rRNA from 1 species